AUGAUCCCGAUUACAAUAUCUAGAGUCAACCAGUUUGACGCUGCGAGGCUUGAUGUUGAAAUGUCCGCCAUGUUGAAAGAGCAGUUAGUCAAAGUAUUCUCUUUGAUGAAGCCAGGACUCUUAUUUCAGUAUGAGCCUGAACUCGAUGCGUUCCUUGAGUUCCUCAUCUGGAGGUUCUCAAUUUGGGUAGACAAGCCAACCCCAGGGAAUGCACUCAUGAACUUGAGGUAUAGAGAUGAACGGGCAGCACCGAUCGCAGGAAAAGAGGUCAGAACAGGUUUAGAAGGACCUGGGCUUUCAGUUUCUCAAAAGAUCUUGUACUGUAUUAGCACUGUUGGUGGCCAAUACUUAUUGUCCCGAUUGCAAUCCUUUUCUGCUUUCCGUCGAUGGGGUGAUUCAGAACAGAGACCACUAGCACAUCGUGCUUGGGGCAUGGUGCAGCACGCUGAAGGACUAUACAGAGCUGUUUCAUUCUUUAACCUGUUGUCAUUUCUUUAUGGCGGAAGGUAUAAAACUCUUGUGGAAAGAAUUCUGAAAGCAAGACUUGUGUAUGGGAGCCCCAAUAUGAACAGAGCAGUGAGCUUUGAGUACAUGAAUCGGCAGCUGGUUUGGAAUGAGUUUUCGGAAAUGUUGCUUUUGCUUCUGCCCCUCUUAAACUCAUCCUCAGUAAAGAAGUUCCUCCUUCCUUUCUCUAAGGAUAAAUCAGCAAGUUCUUCUGGUGACGAAGCAAACUGUCCUAUAUGUGUCUCUAGUCCUAGCAUUCCCUUUGUAGCUCUCCCAUGUCAACACAGGUAUUGUUACUAUUGCCUACGAACGCGCUCUGCGGCUACAAGUUCUUACAGAUGUGCACGCUGUAAUGAGGUUGUCGUUGCGAUUCAACGACAUGGAUCAAGUUAG
rnacentral:rRNA from 1 species